UCCACUCACUACUGUAAGUCUCUCUGGAUAAGAGCGUCUGCUAAAUUACUGAAA
rfam:Salmo salar isolate Sally breed double haploid chromosome ssa16, whole genome shotgun sequence.